rnacentral:tRNA from 1 species
CGAUUAGCUCAGUUGGCUAGAGCGCCACCCUUACAAGGUGGAAGUCGGCGGUUCGAGUCCGUCAUCG